ACGUACACUCCUACGGGAGGCAGCAGUGGGGAAUAUUGGACAAUGGGCGCAAGCCUGAUCCAGCCAUGCCGCGUGAGUGAUGAAGGCCCUAGGGUUGUAAAGCUCUUUCACCGGUGAAGAUAAUGACGGUAACCGGAGAAGAAGCCCCGGCUAACUUCGUGCCAGCAGCCGCGGUAAUACGAAGGGGGCUAGCGUUGUUCGGAUUUACUGGGCGUAAAGCGCACGUAGGCGGACUAUUAAGUCAGGGGUGAAAUCCCGGGGCUCAUCCCCGGAACUGCCUUUGAUACUGGUAGUCUUGAGUUCGAGAGAGGUGAGUGGAAUUCCGAGUGUAGAGGUGAAAUUCGUAGAUAUUCGGAGGAACACCAGUGGCGAAGGCGGCUCACUGGCUCGAUACUGACGCUGAGGUGCGAAAGCGUGGGGAGCAAACAGGAUUAGAUACCCGUGUAGUCCCAUGA
rnacentral:rRNA from 1 species